AUACGGAGGGUGCGAGCAUUAAUCGGAAUUACUGGGCGUAAAGCGUACGUAGGCGGUUGGUUAAGUUAGAUGUGAAAGCCCCGGGCUUAACCUGGGAACUGCGUUUAAAACUGGCGAACUAGAGUUGAGUAGAGGGGAGUGGAAUUUCAGGUGUAGCGGUGAAAUGCGUAGAGAUCUGAAGGAACACCAGUGGCGAAGGCGACUCCCUGGACUCGAACUGACGCUGAGGUACGAAAGCGUGGGUAGCAUACGGGAUUAGAUACCCCAGUAGUCC
rnacentral:rRNA from 1 species